rnacentral:sRNA from 2 species
CGGAUCCGCUUGGGCAGGAGCGGGGGACCCAUUUCCGGGCGUGGCGACAGUCGCGUCCUUGGGGUGAAGCCGGUCAGCCCGGACGCGACGCCAUCGGCGGAGCGCGAGGUGACGACCGGCCGGGCAUUCCCGGCCCGAACCCGACAGCUCACCCCGCAG